rnacentral:rRNA from 1 species
AGAGGGGGCGAGCGUUGUUCGGAAUUACUGGGCGUAAAGGGCGCGUAGGUGGCCUGUUAAGUCGAACGUGAAAUCCCCGGGCUCAACCCGGGAACUGCGUCCGAGACUGGCAGGCUCGAAUCCGGGAGAGGGAUGUGGAAUUCCAGGUGUAGCGGUGAAAUGCGUAGAUAUCUGGAGGAACACCGGUGGCGAAGGCGGCAUCCUGGACCGGUAUUGACGCUGAGGCGCGAAAGCCAGGGGAGCAAACAGGAUUAGAUACCCUGGUAGUCCACGCCGUAAACGUUGGGCACUAGGUGUGGGGACCUAUCGACGGUUUCCGUGCCGUAGCUAACGCAUUAAGUGCCCCGCCUGGGGAGUACGGCCGCAAGGCUA